rnacentral:rRNA from 1 species
AGUGAACGCUGGCGGUAGGCCUAACACAUGCAAGUCGAACGGCAGCACAGUAAGAGCUUGCUCUUACGGGUGGCGAGUGGCGGACGGGUGAGGAAUACAUCGGAAUCUACUUUUUCGUGGGUGAUAACGUAGGGAAACUUACGCUAAUACCGCAUACGACCUACGGGUGAAAGCAGGUGAUCUUCGUACCUUGCGCGUUUGAAUGAGCCGAUGUCGGAUUAGCUAGUUGGCGGGUUAAAGGCCCACCAAGGCGACGAUCCGUAGCUGGUCUGAGAGGAUGAUCAGCCACACUGGAACUGAGACACGGUCCAGACUACUACGGGAGGCAGCAGUGGGGAAUAUUGGACAAUGGGCGCAAGCCUGAUCAAGCCAUACCGCGUGGGUGAAGAAGGACUUCGGGUUGUAAAGCACUUUUGUUGGGAAAGAAAAGCAGCAGGUUAAUACCCCGAUGUUCUGACGGUACCCAAAGAAUAAGCACCGGCUAACUUCGUG